ACGAACGCUGGCGGCGUGCUUAACACAUGCAAGUCGAACGAGGGUCGCAAGACCCGAGUGGCGGACGGGUGAGUAACGCGUAGGUAAUCUGCCCAUCGAUGGGGGACAACUAGCCGAAAGGUUGGCUAAUACCGCAUACGCUGGCAUCUCGAGAGGGGUGUCAGGAAAGAUUUAUUGUCGAUGGAUGAGCCUGCGUCCGAUUAGCUAGUUGGUGAGGGUAAUGGCCCACCAAGGCGACGAUCGGUAGCUGGUCUGAGAGGACGAUCAGCCACACUGGAACUGAGACACGGUCCAGACUCCUACGGGAGGCAGCAGUGGGGAAUUUUCCGCAAUGGGCGAAAGCCUGACGGAGCAACGCCGCGUGGAUGAUGAAGGCUUUCGGGUCGUAAAGUCCUUUCAGCAGGGACGAGCAGAAGACGGUACCUGCAGAAGAAGCAUCGGCUAACUACGU
rnacentral:rRNA from 1 species